UGCUGCAUACAACCCGCCAGGGUACACGGACAUGGAGGACCUUGAAGGAAAUGUCAUCGAAGGAGCUUGGCGAGCAGAAGCGGGGUCACUCCCAGGAAUGGAAGACAGAAUGGGUGUCGGAUGUAACCCAACAAGGACGGCAGCAGCAAUGCGAGAACAGCUCGCAAACUACUUCACUACAGAUGGCAGAGUACCGUGGCAAGACAAGUACAUCUUGAGGGCAUAGGGGAUACUGACACGUCAGUUCGCAGGUGCCGAGGCAGCUCCUUGAGCCUCCAACCAAUGGCUAUCCCGUGGCUUAUGCAAAUGUCGUCCCCUUUCUGGUGCAGACUAUCCAACUUCGUUGCACAGACAUCCAGCGUCUUCUGAAUUGUGUCAUCCAUAUCCAUGUCACCAGUAGCCUUCUCUUUCCUGACAAGUGUUUCACAUCUCGUGGAGUACACGACACCACUUUCUCUGCAUCACAUCAUUCUCAGUGUGUUACCUUUGUGCAUGUGCAGCUGCAGCAGUUCUUCUUCGCUUUUGUCCGCUUGCUGAUACGGACUGACCACUGGCGUGCAUCCCCUGAUUGCAGUGCUCCUCGUGUGCAUGACUAGAACUGAAUAUUAUGCUAAAAUAUAAAAAGCUUUCAAGAAAAC